UACAGAGGGGGCAAGCGUUGUUCGGAAUUACUGGGCGUAAAGGGCGCGUAGGCGGCCUGUUAAGUCGAACGUGAAAUCCCCCGGGCUCAACCCGGGAACUGCGUCCGAUACUGGCAGGCUUGAAUCCGGGAGAGGGAUGCGGAAUUCCAGGUGUAGCGGUGAAAUGCGUAGAUAUCAGGAGGAACACCGGUGGCGAAGGCAGCCUCCUGGGCCAGCACUGACGCUCGAUGCACGAAAGCGUGGGGAGCAAACAGG
rnacentral:rRNA from 1 species